rnacentral:rRNA from 1 species
AGUGAACGCUGGCGGUAGGCCUAACACAUGCAAGUCGAACGGCAGCACAGUAAGAGCUUGCUCUUACGGGUGGCGAGUGGCGGACGGGUGAGGAAUACAUCGGAAUCUACUUUUUCGUGGGGGAUAACGUAGGGAAACUUACGCUAAUACCGCAUACGACCUACGGGUGAAAGCAGGGGAUCUUCGGACCUUGCGCGAUUGAAUGAGCCGAUGUCGGAUUAGCUAGUUGGCGGGGUAAAGGCCCACCAAGGCGACGAUCCGUAGCUGGUCUGAGCGGAUGGUCAGCCACACUGGAACUGAGACACGGUCCAGACUCCUACGGGAGGCAGCAGUGGGGAAUAUUGGACAAUGGGCGCAAGCCUGAUCCAGCCAUACCGCGUGGGUGAAGAAGGCCUUCGGGUUGUAAAGCCCUUUUGUUGGGAAAGAAAAGCAGCAGGUUAAUACCCCGCUGUUCUGACGGUACCCAAAGAAUAAGCACCGGCUAACUUCGUG